rnacentral:rRNA from 1 species
UACGAGAGGGCCCAAACGUUAUUCGGAAUUACUGGGCUUAAAGAGUUCGUAGGCGGCGCAGAAAGUAGGGUGUGAAAGCCCUCGCUUAACCGAGGAAUUGCGCCCUAAACCUACUGUGCUUGAGGAACCGUAGAGGUGAGCAGAACUGAUGGUGGAGCGGUGAAAUGCGUUGAUAUCAUCAGGAAUACCGGAGGCGAAGGCGGCUCACUGGACCGGUUGUUGACGCUGAGGUGCGAAAGCGUGGGGAGCAAACAGG